AGAUCACCAAGAAAACUGAAGAUUUCAUGCAAUGUAUCUAUUACUGUCUUGACAGAAGAGGCCAAACUGGAUCUAACAAAGAUGGAAAAAGAAGGGUCAGGUGGACAACUGCAUAUAAGAAUAAGAAAGAGCGUACAGUCUGAGAAACGUACUGGUCUUCAGUGGGCUUCUUCCUUAAAUACACAGUAAAUACCAGCGUUGUCUGCAAAGAUGCAAAGAGAAAAGAUGCAAAGAGAAAAGAUGACUCCAGUUCUUCUGUGCAGGCAAUCUGAUUGAGGCACCGUGCAGCCACCUAUGAUGCUGGAAUGAAGGAAAUACGAGAAAACACUGCAGUGAAUUUGACUCCAAUACCCUAACCAGAAGUCAGAGCCACUUCCGGGUUCCUUUAUUCCCUCCGGCACUGCUUUGAUGACAUCACUCCAUCCCAAGAAUCUCAGCACCUCUUUUCCCAGCUUCCCCAUUUCCGUUCCCUCCUCAAUAAAUGUCCGAACUCCAUCUCAAUCAUUUGUCUGUUAUACAUUGUUUGUUCACUGACCGUUGGCUUUGCUAUUUUUAAUCAACAGUAUACUGGGAUGGA